UACGUAGGGGGCGAGCGUUGUCCGGAGUUACUGGGCGUAAAGCGCACGCAGGCGGUCUGCUAAGUUUGGAGUGACAGUUGGUGGCUUAACUGCCAAAGUGCUUCGAAAACUGACAGACUUGAGGGCUUCAGAGGGACACGGAAUUCCGGGUGGAGUGGUGAAAUGCGUAGAGAUCCGGAGGAACACCAAAGGCGAAGGCAGUGUCCUGGGGAGUACCUGACGCUCGAGGUGCGAAAGCCAGGGGAGCGAACGGGAUUAGAGUA
rnacentral:rRNA from 1 species